GAACUAUACAAGGAGUUUCCUGCUUCAAACAUAAACAAUGAUGGCAAAGGGAGUGGAUGUCUUCUUUUAAGGACACAAAGCCAGAGGAUGUCCACACCAAGGGGAUGAAGAUGAGCAUCUUAACUAUUACUGGAAGAUGAUGUUGUCAUCCACUCAAACCUAAAGGUGCCUAGGAUGUAGUACUAGAGACGCAGAUUGUGUUGGAAUAUAUACAUGGCCUUACCACUGCUGUUGCUGUCCUCUCUGGCUUAAUUUAGAUCAUCCAAAAAAAUGAUAAUUCUGUCAUCAUUUACUCACCGUCAUGUCGAUCCAAACCCAUAAGACAUUUGUUCAUCUUUAAUACACAAAUGAAGAUAUUUUUAAUGAAACCUGAGAUAUUUCUGUCCAUUCACUGAAAAACUAUUCACCUUAAAUUCUGAUGCUUCAAAAUGUUCAUAAAAAGAUUGUAAAAUGAAUACAUAAGAAUCGAAUGGUUUAAACACAGUCUUCUGAAGAGACGUGAUGACAUUACACAUCACGCAUUUCACACUAAAUGCUGCUCCAUCUCUGCAAGUGCUGUGAGUUUGAGCCUUAUAUAACAUGUAUUAAAAAAAAAAAAAAACACAAAUUGUAUUAUAUUUUAGUUUUCUAUACAGUGAUAGCUUAAAAGCUAUGUCAAUUAGCACUGCAUUAUAAGUACACUCUAAAAAGAUGGUUCUUUAAAGGUCUAUUUAGAACCGAGUUUAGUGUUUUUUUUGUUUUGUUUUUUUUUUUUAUUUCUGGCUUUUUCUAAAAAAAAAAAAAAAAUUUGUAACUGUCAAAACACCUCAUUACUCAUUUUCUGGACAUCAACUAUCCAGCUACACAGACUAUCAACACAGUUUCAACAGGUGAAGUUCUUUCUUACAAUGUCUAUAAACUUUUAACUUUCAUUUUGUAACUUGUUUCCCAUUGCCAAUAAUGUCUUUUUCUUUUUUUUAGGUUCUGUUUUGUGUGACCAGCUCUGUUCAGUUAAGGAUACUCUCUUCUCCACUAAGUAAUAGAGAUACAUCAUAAUCACAACCUCAUCAUCUGCAGAGAAACUGCCACUCAAUCACACCACAUUGAUGGGCUUAAAGGCAUCACAGAGGAUCCUGAAGAUACAUUAUUCCACUGGAACUUUUGUCAUUUAUUUUCUAUUUCUAUUUUCACUUUCUGAUUCACUUUCUGAUUUUUUUCAAGUUCAUUGUCAACUGUCAUUUAUUAUUUGUAUUUAGCCAACUGUUUUUAGAGCAUUUUCAUUUUUGCUUCAAGUUGUCAAUUAAAAAAAUAAAAGUACCUAACUGAAACCACAUGCUGUUUUGUUUAGUUUUUGUGUGAGUGUGUAAAACCCUAAUGCAGGCUAAAAUACAUUAUAGGAAAAAACAAAAAUGUUAAUAGAUAAUAUAUGUAAAUAAUAUUAAUAAGUAAAACUAGUAUCAAUGGUAUAAAUAUAUUAAUAUUAAUGAAAAUAAACUAUUUUCAAAUGUACUAUUUUCUAAAUCCUAAUUCAUGCAUCCCUACAAUUGUGUCUCUUCAGGAGACUUAAACUGCUCAAUUCAUAUUAACUUAUAUAUUUAUUUAAUUAUUUAUGAUCUCUUUAUGAACGCUUUAAAGUUUUGGGUGAACAACCUUUCAAUACAGGGAAGUGUCUCAAAUUUCAUUAAAAUAUUUUAAUUUGUGUUGAGUGUGAACAACGGUUUAGAACAACAUGGGAGUGAGUAAAUGAUACAUUUUCAGAAUAAUUUUGGUUGAAUUAUUCCUUUAAGUUUUGUGUUAAUAGUUUAAAUAUUUUGCUUCUUGAACCAGUGUGUUUGUUGCAUUAUGGAUGCGCCAAAAUAAUAGCAAGAUGAACGUUUAAAAUGACGGUAAAGUUUAGCUUCCUUUAAAUUAUAUAAAAGUUUUUUGGUGACUUUUGAUUUAAAACUUUACUUAAGGCUGCAGAAUUUUAAUAUUUUUAAUGUUACAUUUUUUCUGGCACUUAAAUAAUUUUUAAGUGUGUCUUUUUUGUUUAAGAGUGUUUUUAUUGUAAAUAGUCACAUCCUAGUUCAUAGUUUGAGUGGAUAAUACCUAAAUUGUGUUCAUUUUGCAGAAUGCCAAUAAAUACUUUAUGUAAUGAUGACAAUCUUGUUUGUGUUAUAUUUACAGUAUUGUUCAUACUGCAUGCAUUUGUAUUCUUAAAGGAUGUGGAGGAGCAUACAAUGUGGCUUAGAGUCUGGAUGUAAGAUUUAAAGUUAUACAUUUAAAUAGUAAAAAAUGCAGUUGAGUUGGCUUAAAAUACUAAAGCAACCGGCUGCAAAGCUUUUUUUGAGGUUACUGAACUUCAAGCAAAAAAUUACUGGCACAACUUAGUUCUUGAAGUUCAGUA